UCCGUAGGGGGCAUGCGUUGUCCGGAUUUAUUGGGCGUAAAGAGCGUGUAGGCGGCCAGGUAGGUCCGUUUUGAAAACUGGAGGCUUAACCUCCAGCUGUCGAUGGAAACCAUCUGGCUAGAGUCCGGAAGAGGAGAGUGGAAUUCCUGGUGUAGCGGUGAAAUGCGCAGAUAUCAGGAAGAACACCCGUGGCGAAGGCGGCUCUCUGGGACGGUACUGACGCUGAGACGCGAAAGCGUGGGGAGCGAACAGG
rnacentral:rRNA from 1 species